UACAGAGGUCUCAAGCGUUGUUCGGAUUCAUUGGGCGUAAAGGGUGCGUAGGCGGCGCGGUAAGUCGGGUGUGAAAUUUCGAGGCUUAACUUCGAAACUGCAUUCGAUACUGCCGUGCUUGAGGACUGGAGAGGAGACUGGAAUUUACGGUGUAGCGGUGAAAUGCGUAGAUAUCGUAAGGAAGACCAGUGGCGAAGGCGGGUCUCUGGACAGUUCCUGACGCUGAGGCACGGAGGCCAGGGGAGCAAACGGG
rnacentral:rRNA from 1 species